rnacentral:rRNA from 1 species
AGCUCUCCGAGUGGUAGGGAUGUUUAUUGGGCCUAAAGCGUCCGUAGCCGGCUCAUCAAGUCCUCCGUUAAAUCCAGCGAUUCAAUCGUUGGGCUGCGGGGGAUACUGUUGGGCUAGGGGACGGGAGAGGCCGACGGUAUUCCCGGAGUAGGGGUGAAAUCCUAUAAUUCCGGGAGGACCACCAGUGGCGAAGGCUGUCGGCUAGAACGAGCUCGACGGUGAGGGACGAAAGCUGGGGUAGCGAACCGGAUUAGAUACCCGAGUAGUCC